AUGCAAGUCGAACGGCAGCACGGGAGUAAUCCUGGUGGCGAGUGGCGAACGGGUGAGUAAAGCAUCGGAACGUGCCCAGUCGUGGGGGAUAACGUAGCGAAAGCUACGCUAAUACCGCAUACGAUCUGUGGAUGAAAGCGGGGGACCGUAAGGCCUCGCGCGAUUGGAGCGGCCGAUGUCAGAUUAGGUAGUUGGUGAGGUAAAGGCUCACCAAGCCGACGAUCUGUAGCUGGUCUGAGAGGACGACCAGCCACACUGGGACUGAGACACGGCCCAGACUCCUACGGGAGGCAGCAGUGGGGAAUUUUGGACAAUGGGCGCAAGCCUGAUCCAGCAAUGCCGCGUGCAGGAUGAAGGCCUUCGGGUUUUAAACUGCUUUUGUACGGAGCGAAAAGGCUUCCACUAAUACUGGGGGCUCAUGACGGUACCGUAAGAAUAAGCACCGGCUGACUACGUGCCAGCAGCCGCGGUAAUACGUAGGGUGCGAGCGUUAAUCGGAAUUACUGGGCGUAAAGCGUGCGCAGGCGGUCUUGUAAGACAGGUGUGAAAUCCCCGGGCUUAACCUGGGAACUGCACUUGUGACUGCAAGGCUGGAGUA
rnacentral:rRNA from 1 species